UUCAAUGUCACUUUCCGGCCCACAAGCAUAAACGCCACCGGCAACGGAAGUUCCCAAAAUCCAAACAAAUGUUGGAAGAUAUUUUUAAGUCUCCGCAUCUUUCUUACUUUCCUAUAUGAAAAUAAAAUUGGACUACACCAACAAAGGUUAUGUGUUUUGCACCAGAUUGAAAGCAUCAUAGCGAAAAACGGACCUGUCAUAUCUUUAAAUUUUCAAAAGAGCCCCUGGAAAAAGAAAAAUGAAUAUCUUUGCCAAGGAAUAGGUACUAAGGCAAAUGGAUAAAAAACCUUCAGUCCAUGCAUUGGUAUGUAAUUGUUGACAAAAAUACAAUGAAUGGCCUCACUACUUUUCCACAUGCAAAGAGGUUAACCAAGGAGAAAUUAAAGAAAUUGUCAAAAACCUAGGUAAAUACAGAAUUGCUUAGUACAAACAUAUCUAUACCCAGUACAAGUUCGUCCACUUCUUUGAAGCAUGGUACUUCAAACAGAAACACUGUCAACAAUUUUGUAGAAGGUGAGCCGGUGUCAAAUUCCAGUAAGGGUCAUGAUUUCAAUUUUGCACCAACAGCAGAGCUAAAAUUCAUUUUGCCGCAAAAAACUGGAGGAUGUGAAAGAAAAAAGUGUAGAAGUUAAAAUUAAGUUUUUCAUAUGAGCACAUAAAAAAUAAUCAUGACAAAGUUCAGUUGUAUACAGGUUUG
rnacentral:lncRNA from 1 species